AACGGCAGCAUGGGCUUUGGCCUGAUGGCGAGUGGCGAACGGGUGAGUAAUGCAUCGGAACGUACCUGGUGGUGGGGGAUAGCUCGGCGAAAGCCGGAUUAAUACCGCAUACGCCCUGAGGGGGAAAGCGGGGGACUUCUUCGGGAGCCUCGCGCCAUGGGAGCGGCUGAUGUCGGAUUAGCUAGUAGGUGGGGUAAAGGCUCACCUAGGCUUCGAUCCGUAGCUGGUCUGAGAGGAUGAUCAGCCACACUGGGACUGAGACACGGCCCAGACUCCUACGGGAGGCAGCAGUGGGGAAUUUUGGACAAUGGGGGCAACCCUGAUCCAGCCAUGCCGCGUGAGUGAAGAAGGCCUUCGGGUUGUAAAGCUCUUUCAGUCGGGAAGAAACGGGGUUCUCUAAGAUAGGGUCUUAAUGACGGUACCGACAGAAGAAGCACCGGCUAACUACGUGCCAGCAGCCGCGGUAAUACGUAGGGUGCGAGCGUUAAUCGGAAUUACUGGGCGUAAAGCGUGCGCAGGCGGUUGGCUAAGACAGGUGUGAAAUCCCCGGGCUCAACCUGGGAAUGGCGCUUGUGACUGGCGGGCUAGAGUACGGCAGAGGGGGGUGGAAUUCCACGUGUAGCAGUGAAAUGCGUAAAGAUGUGGAGGAACACCGAUGGCGAAG
rnacentral:rRNA from 1 species